UGCAAGUUGAACGGGAUUUCGGGUAGCAAUAUCUGGAUGAGAGUGGCGCACGGGUGCGUAACGCGUAUGCAACCUACCUCUAACUGGGGGAUAGCCUUCCGAAAGGGAGAUUAAUACCGCAUAAUAUAUUGAUGGAGCAUUUCAUUAAUAUCAAAACUCCGGUGGUUAGAGAUGGGCAUGCGUCCGAUUAGCUAGUUGGUGAGGUAACGGCUCACCAAGGCGACGAUCGGUAGGGGGUCUGAGAGGAUGAUCCCCCACACUGGUACUGAGACACGGACCAGACUCCUACGGGAGGCAGCAGUAAGGAAUAUUGGACAAUGGGCGAAAGCCUGAUCCAGCCAUGCCGCGUGCAGGAUGAAGGCUCUAUGGGUCGUAAACUGCUUUUGGCGGGGAAAAAACCCCUGUACUUGUACGGGGCUGAUGGUACCCGCAGAAUAAGGAUCGGCUAACUCCGUGCCAGCAGCCGCGGUAAUCCGGAGGAUCCAAGCGUUAUCCGGAUUUAUUGGGUUUAAAGGGUGCGUAGGCGGAUUAGUAAGUCAGUGGUGAAAGCCUGCAGCUUAACUGUAGAACUGCCAUUGAUACUGCUAGUCUUGAGUAUAGUUGAGGAGGGCGGAAUAUGACAUGUAGCGGUGAAAUGCUUAGAUAUGUCAUAGAACACCGAUUGCGAAGGCAGCUCUCUAAGCUAUUACUGACGCUGAGGCACGAAAGCGUGGGUAGCAAACAGGAUUAGAUACCCUGGUAGUCC
rnacentral:rRNA from 1 species